CAGCAGGGAAUGAGAAACAAAGGCAAUGAGUAAGAACGCUACACACUUCCAUUAGCGGCGCAUGGGCCGGGGCACGAUAAGCCGUAACGCUGUGGAUGGGAUGAGUCAGAGGAAAUGAAUGUGUAAAAAGGGCAUAAAAUGGAGCUGUGCAUGUGUGUGUUUGUGUAUGUAUCUACGUGCUAGUGGAAUAUGAUGCCUGCUGAGUCGAUGCAAGGUUCUCGGCUUUCAAACAAACAGAGCAGAAAACUCUUCCAAUGCGUAACGGUUUACUGUGGCAACUUCUUAUCAUGUAUCAAGAUUGGUGUGUGUGUGUGUGUGUGUGUGUAUGUGUGUACAAGCUGCACUAACCUCUUUCGCUGGGAAUGAUACAGCAAUCAAAUCAGGGAAACCUAAAGGGUAACAGGAUAAUUUGUUGGAAAUGAAUCACACGAAAUGCCCAUCACGCCAUUCCAAUUAUCGCCCGCGUGUGUGGAAUCCACCAGCAGUUUCGUUGAAGCUCCAAAAUCAGCAUUAUUAAGUUAUCGAUGGAACGCAUGUGCCCCCGGGGCGGGGUAAUAUAUCGACCCCUGGGGCCCGGUGCUGUUGCUGCUGCUUGGGCGGUUCGUUGGUCUUCGCUUAUCUCGUGAUAACGUCGAGGAAUAUAUAUCAGACAAGCCGGGAGGGUAAAAAAAAUGUACCAUCAAGCAAAUGGUGUGUUGUGUGUGUGUGUUGUCGACUCCGAUCAGACUACGAUAAUUUCCGGCACCGACUGCGGAAGGUAGAUCCGCCAAGCAUAAUCCGGAGUCGUUCGGAAUCGUCCGGAGUCGUUCAGAGUUGCCCGGAGUCUUCCGGAGUCCUCCGGAGUCGUUUGGAGUCAUUCGGAGUCGUUCGGAAUCGGAUGAGGUCGAAGUCCUUCGGAGUCUACCGGAAUCGGCUUUCGAAACAACCGACAUACGAAGUACACGGACAAAGUUAAA